rnacentral:rRNA from 1 species
CCUACGGGAGGCAGCAGUGGGGACUAUUGCACAAUGGGCGCAAGCCUGAUGCAGCCAUGCCGCGUGUGUGAAGAAGGCCUUCGGGUUGUAAAGCACUUUCAGCGGGGAGGAAGGCGGUGAGGUUAAUAACCUCAUCGAUUGACGUUACCCGCAGAAGAAGCACCGGCUAACUCCGUGCCAGCAGCCGCGGUAAUACGGAGGGUGCAAGCGUUAAUCGGAAUUACUGGGCGUAAAGCGCACGCAGGCGGUCUGUCAAGUCGGAUGUGAAAUCCCCGGGCUCAACCUGGGAACUGCAUUCGAAACUGGCAGGCUAGAGUCUUGUAGAGGGGGGUAGAAUUCCAGGUGUAGCGGUGAAAUGCGUAGAGAUCUGGAGGAAUACCGGUGGCGAAGGCGGCCCCCUGGACAAAGACUGACGCUCAGGUGCGAAAGCGUGGGGAGCAAACAGGAUUAGAUACCCGUGUAGUC